GGCCUACUGUGAAAAAGCAAAUGUGUGCCAUGAAAUGACUGCACGACUGGCCCCAGUAUCAACCGUUGAGGUUAUUGUUGAUAAGAUCACUAAAGAAAAGUCCUGUCACUAUGAUAGAGUGCCUGUAUACAGUAAAAGAGGAUCAACUGCUGUGCCGUCAGUGGGAAAGCGUGGCUGACAUCAUUGCUAUUGGCAGCUCGGCAGGAUAUAUUGGUACUCCGGUUUCCUCUCACAGGCCAAAAAAACAUGCAAGGCAAUUUGGAGAUGCCAAAUGGUCCCUUCCCCAACCUGUGUCUGGAUUAAUUUG